rnacentral:rRNA from 1 species
CGGCGUGCCUAAUACAUGCAAGUCGAACGGUCUUUCUAUGGAAGCUUGCUUCCACUGAGAAGAUAGUGGCGAACGGGUGAGUAACACGUGGGUAACCUGCCCAUAAGAGGGGGGAUAACAUCCGGAAACGGGUGCUAAUACCGCAUAGUUUUCUUGAUCGCAUGAUCGGGAAAGGAAAGACGGCCUUUGUGCUGUCGCUUAUGGAUGGACCCGCGGCGUAUUAGUUAGUUGGUGAGGUAACGGCUCACCAAGACGAUGAUACGUAGCCGACCUGAGAGGGUGAUCGGCCACAUUGGGACUGAGACACGGCCCAAACUCCUACGGGAGGCAGCAGUAGGGAAUCUUCCGCAAUGGACGAAAGUCUGACGGAGCAACGCCGCGUGAGUGAAAGAAGGUUUUCGGAUCGUAAAACUCUGUUGUCAGAGAAGAACAAGUUGGAGAGUAACUGCUCCAGCCUUGACGGUAUCUGACCAGAAAGCCACGGCUAACUACGUGCCAGCCGCCGC